UGUAAUAAACAGCCUAACAUGGUAACCUGGCGGCUGUCUUUUGCAACCCUCUCUGAAUAUUCAUCAAUUAGUGGUGACUGGAAAUUCUUCUGUCAAAGCUUAUUGGUUGAUUCCUGAGCCAAUUUGGCGAGAGAAAAGCAAUGACUUACCACGCUUGGAAGACGCUUGGCACACUCUUACGCUGUUUUCACAUAGUGUUGGUUGUUUUAUUCUUGUGUUAGUAUUUUCUCACCCGCUUGUUUUGAAAUCGCUUUCGUCUGGAUUGCAAUAAAAAUGAAGCAGGCACUUGAAUCAGUCGGACAACGGAGGAUUUUCAACAAAGCCCUCCAAUCUGCACUUCGCUCUUCGUCUUUGUCCCAAAAUGAUCCUGUAGCAUGCAAGGGAAAAUGUAAGAUAACUGAGAAUAAAACUGCAUCUGCUUAUAGACCUAAUACACAC